CCUACGGGAUGCAGCAGUGAGGAAUAUUGGUCAAUGGACGAGAGUCUGAACCAGCCAAGUAGCGUGAAGGAUGACUGCCCUAUGGGUUGUAAACUUCUUUUAUAUGGGAAUAAAAUGUUCCACGUGUGGGAUUUUGUAUGUACCAUAUGAAUAAGGAUCGGCUAACUCCGUGCCAGCAGCCGCGGUAAUACGGAGGAUCCGAGCGUUAUCCGGAUUUAUUGGGUUUAAGGGGAGCGUAGGUGGAUUGUUAAGUCAGUUGUGAAAGUUUGCGGCUCAACCGUAAAAUUGCAGUUGAAACUGGCAGUCUUGAGUACAGUAGAGGUGGGCGGAAUUCGUGGUGUAGCGGUGAAAUGCUUAGAGAUCACGAAGAACUCCGAUUGCGAAGGCAGUUCACUGGACUGCAACUGACACUGAGGCUCGAAAGUGUGGGUAUCAAACAGGAUUAGAUACCCGUGUAGUC
rnacentral:rRNA from 1 species